GCUGUAGCUCAGUGGUAGAGCAUCUGCUUUGCAUGCAGAAAGUCCCAGGUUCAAUUCCUGGCAUCUCCA
rnacentral:tRNA from 1 species